UAAUUCUUUGUGCAAAAUACGUACCGGC
rnacentral:sRNA from 1 species